rnacentral:rRNA from 1 species
GACAGAGGUCCCGAGCGUUAGGCGGAAUCACUGGGCUUAAAGCGUGUGUAGGCGGAUUUGUAAGUACCUUGUGAAAUCCCACGGCUUAACCGUGGAACUGCUUGGUAUACUGCGAAUCUUGGGCCAUCUAGGGGCGAGCGGAACAAGUGGUGGAGCGGUGAAAUGCGUAGAUAUCACUUGGAACGCCAAUGGUGAAAACAGCUCGCUGGGGAUGUGCCGACGCUGAGACACGAAAGCCAGGGGAGCGAACGGG